rnacentral:rRNA from 1 species
GAAUUUUAUAUGAUUUUAUUUGAAAUUAUUUUAAAAGGAUAGUAAAAUUGUAUUUAAUUGGGAGGAUAAUUAAAUAUUAAUAACUUUAAUUAUAAUGUAAAUAUAAAUGAAUAGAUUUUGGGAUGGUUAAUAAAUUAUUGAAGAAUUAAUUACCUUAGGGAUAACAGCGUAAUAUUUUUGGAGAGUUCAUAUUGAUAAUAAUGUUUGC